UACCAGCUCUCCGAGUGGUAGGGAUGAUUAUUGGGCUUAAAGCGUCCGUAGCCGGCUUAGCAAGUCUCCUGUUAAAUUCAGCGACCUAAUCGUUGAGCCGCGGGAGAUACUACUAGGCUAGGAGGCGGGAGAGGUCAACGGUACUUCCGGGGUAGGGGUGAAAUCCUAUAAUCCCGGGAGGACCACCAGUGGCGAAGGCUGUUGACUAGAACGCGCUCGACGGUGAGGGACGAAAGCUGGGGGAGCGAACCGGAUUAGAUACCCGGGUAGUCCCAGCUGUAAACGAUGCGAGCUAGGUGUUGGGGUGGCUACGUGCCACUUCAGUGCCGCAGGGAAGCCAUUAAGCUCGCCGCCUGGGGAGUACGGCCGCAAGGCUAGAAACUUAAAGGAAUUGGGCGGGGGAGCACCACAAGGCGUGAAGCUUGGCGGUUC
rnacentral:rRNA from 1 species